AAGUGAUGGAAGCAGUCGUCACCAAUGUGGCACUAACUAAUAAUCUCUCUCUGAUGCUCAGUUUGGGUUCCACCAGGACAACUCGGAUGCAAACAUUGGAUAAAAGCUGAAUUCUGCUGGUGAGAAAACCAGGUGAAGGAUCAAAGUUCACAGUGCAAGACAGCUCCAGAUAUGAAGAGAGUCAAAUAGAAGGAUCCUUGCUUCAGACAGUACUGGUCUGAGAUCACCAGGCCAUUCUCAAUGAUCUGAGCGGAAGCCAAUGUGGUGUUCUUCCCUUUUGGGAGGAGAAAUGGAAUAGUUACAUUCUGCUCAGAAAAAAAUAUGCCUCUGUGUACAAUGUGUGACACAUAGGGUGUCUAGAUGCAGUUGUUUUAAGGUAAUGUGUAUAUAAUUGUGUGCAUUAAUGUGUGCUGUAUAGUUAAUGUUGAAUGUGU